GAUGGACCUGCGUUGUAUUAGCUAGUUGGUGGGGUAACGGCUCACCAAGGCGACGAUACAUAGCCGACCUGAGAGGGUGAUCGGCCACACUGGGACUGAGACACGGCCCAGACUCCUACGGGAGGCAGCAGUAGGGAAUCUUCGGCAAUGGACGGAAGUCUGACCGAGCAACG
rnacentral:rRNA from 1 species